rnacentral:lncRNA from 10 species
CAAAAUUCUGGGUCAGGAAGUAAAAGCUAGAACUAUUACAGAGAUGAGCUGCUAAUUAUGGAGGAAGCCAUCGAGCAAGCAGCCGUUUCUGUCCAGAUCUCCAUUAGAAUCUCAUUAUCAGGUUUUUAAUUGGACCACUCCCUGUGCUUUGGAGUUUGGGCGGCAGAACCGCGUAAGGAGAAGCCGUCUGGGUGUCUCCCCUCCGCCAGGCAAGGCAGACAACCAGAGCCGAGCAGCACAGAGAUCUUUCUGCAGUGGGAGAAACAGAUGAGAAAACUCUACGAACACACAGACACCUCUGGAGGAGGAGGACAAGCAGUAGAAGGUUACACAUCUGGGUUGUGAAGGGAAUUGUGACUAAUCUUGAAAGUUACAAUGUACAGAAAGUUCCAGAAAUGUAGACCUUUUGUUCCUUCACAUUAAAUGUAACUUGGGCCCGGUCACGGUGGCUCAUGCCUAUAAUCCUAGUACUUUGAGAGGCCAAGGCGGGUGGAUCGCUUGAGCUCAGGGGUUCAAGACCAGCCUGGCUGACACAGUGUGAUCUUGUCUCUACGAAAAAUAAAACAAAAUCAGCCAGACAUAAUGACGUACGUCUGUAUUUCCAACUACUUGGGCAGUUGAGGUGAGAGGAUUGCUUAAGCACAGCAGGUCAAGGCUGCAGUGAGCCAUGAUUAUGCUGCUGUACUUCAGCCUGGGCGAUAGAGGUAGAC